GACGAACGCUGGCGGCGUGCUUAACACAUGCAAGUCGAACGGAAAGGCCCUGCUUUUGUGGGGUGCUCGAGUGGCAAACGGGUGAUUAACACGUGAUUAACCUGCCCUUGACUUUGGGAUAACUUCAGGAAACUGGGGCUAAUACCGGAUAGGAGCUCCUGCUGCAUGGUGGGGGUUGGAAAGUUUCGGCGGUUGGGGAUGGACUCGCGGCUUAUCAGCUUGUUGGUGGGGUAGUGGCUUACCAAGGCUUUGACGGGUAGCCGGCCUGAGAGGGUGACCGGCCACAUUGGGACUGAGAUACGGCCCAGACUCCUACGGGAGGCAGCAGUGGGGAAUAUUGCACAAUGGGCGGAAGCCUGAUGCAGCAACGCCGCGUGCGGGAUGACGGCCUUCGGGUUGUAAACCGCUUUCGCCUGUGACGAAGCGUGAGUGACGGUAAUGGGUAAAGAAGCACCGGCUAACUACGUG
rnacentral:rRNA from 1 species